AUCGAAUGAAUACCCUCAACACUAAAAUACAUGUCCUAAGUGACUUUUUAUGUCUUGCGUGCACCGAGGAGACCCUUGACGGUUUUUAGACGUACCAUUAUUAUUUAUGCAUAUAUUUGAAGCAUUUUGUUCAUAAUAGGUAUUUAUAUGUGUGUAUCAGACAAAAUGACUUCCCAAUUAGCAGAGGCGGAUUUAGGUUUUUUUCCAGCCCCCACCCCCACACACUAAUCUUGGAAAAUGGGAGAUUAUAUAGGGAAUCACUGAAGCAUGACUGGCAGGGACCCCUCUUAGGCCGAGUCAAUGGGUCCCCACUGCUUAGUUCUAGUUAUCUAAGGUCCUAGUGUGAAAUAUAACCAAUAGGAAUUGGUCUUUUUAAACACUUCUACAUAGGCCUACAUGUAUACGUUUUGUCAAGGGUUGGUUCAUUACCGACUGUGCAAGGGCUGUAUAGCCAGUCAAGGUCGUUAAAAACUUCCAUUUGUUGGUUCAUGCAAUAUUGAAAUUAUGUUUACUCAAUGCGCAGUUAAUAGUUACUGAUGUGUAUAUUUGCUACUUUUCUUCUUUAUUUCAUAUAAUUGAUUUUUUGAUUUUUUUUCUUCGAAAAAUUUGUGGUGUUGAAAUAGGGAAUAGACACAGAUACCUAAGCACAUUUAACAAAAGAAAUUUUGUGUAAUGUCAUCAAUCUGUUUCUGAGAUCUGUAUUACACGUAGACAGGAUGUUCUCUAGAAAACUUUACGUUAUACACACCGGAGAGUACACGCACUGUCGUAAUG
rnacentral:lncRNA from 1 species